UACGUAGGGUGCGAGCGUUAAUCGGAAUUACUGGGCGUAAAGCGUGCGCAGGCGGUGAGCUGUGUCCGAUGUGAAAGCCCCGGGCUUAACCUGGGAAUGGCAUUGGAAACUGGCUCGCUGGAGUGUGGCAGAGGGGGGGUGGAAUUCCGCGUGUAGCAGUGAAAUGCGUAGAGAUGCGGAGGAACACCGAUGGCGAAGGCAGCCCCCUGGGCUAACACUGACGCUCAGGCACGAAAGCGUGGGGAGCAAACAGG
rnacentral:rRNA from 1 species